rnacentral:rRNA from 1 species
GAUGAACGCUGGCGGCGUGCCUAAUACAUGCAAGUCGAGCGAAUGGAUUAAGAGCUUGCUCUUAUGAAGUUAGCGGCGGACGGGUGAGUAACACGUGGGUAACCUGCCCAUAAGACUGGGAUAACUCCGGGAAACCGGGGCUAAUACCGGAUAACAUUUUGAACCGCAUGGUUCGAAAUUGAAAGGCGGCUUCGGCUGUCACUUAUGGAUGGACCCGCGUCGCAUUAGCGAGUUGGGGAGGUAACGGCUCACCAAGGCAACGAUGCGUAGCCGACCUGAGAGGGUGAUCGGCCACACUGGGACUGAGACACGGCCCAGACUCCUACGGGAGGCAGCAGUAGGGAAUCUUCCGCAAUGGACGAAAGUCUGACGGAGCAACGCCGCGUGAGUGAUGAAGGCUUUCGGGUCGUAAAACUCUGUUGUUAGGGAAGAACAAGUGCUAGUUGAAUAAGCUGGCACCUUGACGGUACCUAACCAGAAAGCCACGGCUAACUACGUGCCAGCAGCCGCCGCGG